UACGGAGGGUGCGAGCGUUGUCCGGAAUCACUGGGCGUAAAGGGCGCGUAGGUGGCUUCUCAAGCGCGCGGUGAAAGCCCGGGGCCUCAACCCCGGGUCGGCCGUGCGGACUGGGAGGCUCGAGCACUGUAGGGGCGGGUGGAAUUCCGGGUGUAGCGGUGGAAUGCGUAGAGAUCCGGAAGAAUACCCGUGGCGAAGGCGGCCAGCUGGGCCAGGUCCGACACUGAGGCGCGAAAGCGUGGGGAGCAA
rnacentral:rRNA from 1 species